UAGAGAGUCGGAUCCAUUGUGGUGUGCAGUUGGAUUUGUUGGAUGAGCGCUGGCGCCGUGCUGCGCCAAGAUUUGGAUCCUGCACAUUUGUGCUGAUGGUAGGAUAAAUGGAUUUUUGUUGUCAUCUGUGGUUGGUUCUGUGCAAUGUUAGGUCGCUUUUUAUAUUGUUGCUACUAUCUAACGACGUGCUUUCUAAUUGCUUUUUUGGGAUGCAUUUCAGUGGUUCUUUGCUGCAGCAUCUGAGGAUACGCUGUUGUGUGGCUGAUUGAGCUCACGCUCUGGUCCAGUGAGGCCCAGCAGCUGGACAGAGAGUGAUGAGUAGAAACCAGAGGGAGGAGACCCCUGUGGACAGGUGAACCAGAUACUGGCUCAGGUCAGCACAAGAUUCCAGAUGAAUUCUUGCUGAAAAGACAGUGGCUAACAUCUGCGCACUGGCACUGAGCAGUGACAAGUCUGCUGCAGACCGGUAAAGUGUAUGGAAAACACAGAGGCACCUUGACACAAACACAGGGGGAAGAAAAUGCUUAGAUCAACCUUUCUGAGACGCACAGUCGUACAUAGUCAAACGCACAAUGUUCCUUGAAACAAGCACUGGUGUCUGCUUAGUAGGUGCUCAAUCAAUCGGCUAUUAAAAGGUUUAAUGGUUUGGUGAGUCCAGACUCUUGUAUGAAAUAUUCUUGAAACAUGGACUUGGAAAAACUUAAUGAGGUCAGAAAGCCUGCAGAAAGCAGGAAGGUUAUCACUUAAU